rnacentral:rRNA from 1 species
GAUGAACGCUGGCGGCGUGCUUAACACAUGCAAGUCGAACGGAAAGGCUCCUGCUUGCAGGGGUACUCGAGUGGCGAACGGGUGAGUAACACGUGGGUGAUCUGCCCUGCACUUCGGGAUAAGCCUGGGAAACUGGGUCUAAUACCGGAUAGGACCACAUUUUGGAUGGUGUGGUGGAAAGUUUUUCGGUGUGGGAUGAGCUCGCGGCCUAUCAGCUUGUUGGUGGGGUAAUGGCCUACCAAGGCGUCGACGGGUAGCCGGCCUGAGAGGGUGUACGGCCACAUUGGGACUGAGAUACGGCCCAGACUCCUACGGGAGGCAGCAGUGGGGAAUAUUGCACAAUGGGCGCAAGCCUGAUGCAGCGACGCCGCGUGGGGGAUGACGGCCUUCGGGUUGUAAACUCCUUUCGCUUGGGACGAAGCGCAAGUGACGGUACCUGGAGAAGAAGCACCGGCUAACUACGUG